AUUGAACGCUGGCGGCAUGCUUUACACAUGCAAGUCGAACGGCAGCGGGGGCUUCGGCCUGCCGGCGAGUGGCGAACGGGUGAGUAAUGCAUCGGAACGUGCCCAUGUCGUGGGGGAUAACUACGCGAAAGCGUGGCUAAUACCGCAUACGCCCUGAGGGGGAAAGCGGGGGAUCUUUCGGGACCUCGCGCGAUUGGAGCGGCCGAUGUCGGAUUAGCUAGUUGGUGGGGUAAAGGCUCACCAAGGCGACGAUCCGUAGCUGGUCUGAGAGGAUGAUCAGCCACACUGGGACUGGGGCACGGCCCAGACUCCUACGGGAGGCAGCAGUGGGGAAUUUUGGACAAUGGGCGCAAGCCUGAUCCAGCCAUGCCGCGUGAGUGAAGAAGGCCUUCGGGUUGUAAAGCUCUUUCGGCCGGGAAGAAAUCGCACUCUCUAAUAUAGGAUGUGGAUGACGGUACCGGACUAAGAAGCACCGGCUAACUACGUGCCAGCAGCCGCCGUAACAC
rnacentral:rRNA from 1 species